UUUCCGUAGGUGAACCUGCGGAAGGAUCAUUAAAGAGUAAGGGUCUUCGGGCCCGAUCUCUAACCCUUUGUUUAACUACCAUGUUGCUUUGGCGGGCCCGUCUCACGACCGCCGGAAGUUUGGCUUCGACCAAACUUCUGGCCCGUGCCCGUCAGUGGCCCCUUCAAAUUCUUGAUCAGGUAUGAUGUCUUAGUUAAAAACUUAAUAGUUAAAACUUUCAACAACGGAUCUCUUGGUUCUG
rnacentral:misc_RNA from 1 species